GACGAACGCUGGCGGCGUGCCUAAUACAUGCAAGUAGAACGCUGAAGGAGGAGCUUGCUUCUCUGGAUGAGUUGCGAACGGGUGAGUAACGCGUAGGUAACCUGCCUGGUAGCGGGGGAUAACUAUUGGAAACGAUAGCUAAUACCGCAUAAUAGUAGAUGUUGCAUGACAUUUACUUAAAAGGUGCAAUUGCAUCACUACCAGAUGGACCUGCGUUGUAUUAGCUAGUUGGUGGGGUAACGGCUCACCAAGGCGACGAUACAUAGCCGACCUGAGAGGGGGAUCGGCCACACUGGGACUGGGACACGGCCCAGACUCCUACGGGAGGGAGCAGUAGGGGAUCUUCGGCAAUGGACGAAAGUCUGACCGAGCCACGCCGCGUGAGUGAAGAAGGUUUUCGGAUCGUAAAGCUCUGUUGUAAGAGAAGAACGAGUGUGAGAGUGGAAAGUUCACACUGUGACGGUAUCUUACCAGAAAGGGACGGCUAACUACGUG
rnacentral:rRNA from 1 species